rnacentral:lncRNA from 1 species
GAGCGAAGGAAUGGACUCCUGACCGUCCUCCCGCCCGCGGGCCCUCUCACUCCCGCACCUCGGCACCCCCGCCCGCCCACCCCAACGUGAGAUGCAUGACCCCAGUGGGGCUAUUUGGGUGCAGAGGACACAGAAAACUCAAAUCAGUGGACAGCUCCAAAAAAAAAAAAAAAAAAAAAGAAAAGAAAAAGAAAAAAAAAGCAAAUGGGUAAAGAGCAGAGACAACCAAAGAAGGAAAAAAAAAAAGAAAUGAUUAAAAAAAAAAAAGUUCAAAUCGGUACUAAGCCAAAUGCAUGCAUUUUCAGGCAAGGCUCAAAGGCACCUUUCCUCCUAUGGGAGUAGGGAAGUUUUUGUUUUGUCUUGGUGCUCAAACCAUAGGGUGGUUGGCGAGGGACCAGUGAGACACACAACCUCCUUGCUCAAGGAUUUGGUCUCCCAUCUCUUUGCACCCUCACUUUUUACUUCCUAUGACCGUGUUGGUGACAGUGAUUCCAGAAGCAAACUAUGUAUGGAAUAAUCAGUGUCUCUUUCGGUCCCCAGGAUAGUUGCAAAAGUAAUUAAUAUAAGCUGUGAAAGUAACUUCUUUUAAUUGUGGGGAAACUGAGGGUGGAAGAAGUACCCCGUAUUGCUACACACACUACGUAGCUAGAAGGCACUCCACUGCUAGGCCUUUGCUCUUACUCUUUAUUCUAGAGAUUUACUCAGACGCGUUAGAAAUAAAAUUUGAACUGGAUCUAGUCCAUGGUAUGUAUAUAUCCGUAUUUGAAAUAUGGCCCGGGAAGUGUGAAGGUCACACGCUUUGAUACCAGCUGUACUCCGGGUUUAGAUUAUACUUCUUAUUUAGCGUUGUGCACCACAAUGUUUUAAGGAUUAUAUUCCUGGUUAUUUUUAGUUAAGAAACUCAGAAGCAACAAAGAUGUGACAGACAGACUGUAAGGUGGCUCCAUGAUUCCCAGCAGCUCCUGGUGUUCACACGUCUGUGGGAUCCCCUCCCUUUGGGUGCAGUUGGGAUCUGUGACUUGCUUAUAAACAAUAAGCAUAGCACAGGUGAUGGAUGUCAGUCCUGUGACUACACUAUGUUACAAAAGACUCUUGUCUUGCUAGCAGGCUCUCUCUGGAGACUGUCAUCUCUGGCCUGAUGAAACAAGUGGGCACGUUGGGAAGUCCAUGUGGCAGGAACUCUGGGGGGCCUCUAGGAGCUGAAAACAGCCUCCAGCCAAUGGCCAGCGAGAAGCCAGUUCCCCGAGGUCUGCAUACACAAGGAGAUGAACUCUGCCAACCAUCUAAGUAACCCUGGAGAUAGGUCCUUCCCCAGUCAAGCCUCCAGAUGUGAAUGUGGACCAGAGGACAUUUUAACUGUGGCUUUAUGAAACCCUAAGCAGAAGACCCAUUUAAGCCGUGCUUGGACUCCUGACCCACCAAAAUUAGAGAGAGAGAGAGAGGCAGAGACACAGGCAGAAGGAGAAGCAGGCUCCACGCUGGGAGCCCGACGCGGGACUCGAUCCCAGGACUCCAGGAUCGCGCCCUGGGCCAAAGACAGGAUUGGAAAGCUGAGAAUUGAAUCAUUUUAUGCGGAUGCUUGAGACUGCAGCAGCCGUCUUAGAAGAGAAGGACCAAUUCUCCCUGGACUCUGGAGUCCAAAGUCGCAGACUUAAAUCCCAGCCACUUCAUUUUCGAAUGAUCAUGAUAAUGAUGAAAAUAAUGAUGAAGAAGAUGCCGAUGGCCAUGGCAAUGGGCAGCGUCUGCGGGGCGCUCACUGAGGACGUGACACUGUUCAGAUGCUUUCACGUGUCAACUCCUUCAUUCUCC